UGCGGCUGGAUCCCCUCCUUUCUAGAGUAUGCCUCAGGGCUUAGCGCUCACUCUUAUCGGUUGUUAUUACAGCAGGAUUGAGGAAUCAGGAGUCAGGAAUCAGGAAACCCGUUUUUCCACUGAGUCCUGCAUCCAGAAUCCUGGAUCCUGAACACAGGGUCUGUAGCUCAGUUGGUUAGAGCACACGCUUGAUAAGCGUGGGGUCGAUGGUUCAAAUCCAUCCAGACCCACCAUUUAUCGGGGGUGUAGCUCAGUUGGGAGAGCGCAUGGUUUGCAACCAUGAGGUCAUCGGUUCGAUCCCGUUCACCUCCACCAAUUCUGAUGCUCGCUGGGGCACUACAAAAAUGCAGAGCUAAGCGUUCAACGCUUAGCUCUGGUUUUUUAACCAGAGGCUGUAACUGUUCUUUAACAAAACGGAAGAAGUAAAGCGUUUCAGUUUCGAAGUUUGAAACUGAAACACUGGGUUUGAUUGUAUCGACGCAUUCGGCAAACAAAAGGGCCGGAUGCGGCACAAGCGCGCUUUAGAAUCCUUAUGACCGCGGCUUCGAAGCAAUUCGAGGAUUCAAGGUUAUAGGGUCAAGCGAAUAAGUGCAUGAGGUGGAUGCCUUGGCGAUCACAGGCGAUGAAGGACGUAGUAGCUUGCGAAAAGCUGCGGGGAGCUGGCAAACGAGCUUUGAUCCGCAGAUGUCCGAAUGGGGAAACCCGG
rnacentral:misc_RNA from 1 species